CGAUAUUCCUUCAGUGUCAUACAAAAUCCCAACAACAUUUUAUCGUUCGUUAGCCUCAGGCACUAAAACUCUAAUACGUAGCUACUUUCUUGGCUAGUUUCCAAGUCUGACAAUAAGACUGGAGAACAUCAAAUGACUGCAUUUGUCGUGGCGUAACGAAUCGCGGCGGGUCGUGAGAACGUUUCCCUGGGACAAGGGGAAACGAUUUCGCGUACAAAAUCGACACUUCCGCCGGCGCGAGUGUGUCUUUGUUCUGGCCAACAGACAAAGGAACGCGAAGUCACGGCUACAUCGACUGUGCACAGCUUGGCCAACCUAUGCACACUGUGAACGAGGCUUUAGGAACUCCGUGGUUGGAAUGCUGAGUCGCCGUGUGUAACGGGCAUGGAAUGCGCGAGAGGAAGUCGUGCGCGCUCGCAGAAAUUCACGUUCGAUCGGCUGAAAUUCAGGCACGCCAGCCUCAUUUCCCAUGCAGAACGAGGGCCACGGCAUUGCUACACGUGCUCUUAACUACGUGACGUGUUUACAUGGACCACUAGGAAACGACAUAUACGCACCGUGAUCGCGUGAAAAGGUAGCCUAGCGUGAUUUAUAGGUAUUUCGUUAUAGAGAAGAUCCUGCUCUCGGAAGAUGCAGUGGAAGAAAUAGUUGUCAGAGGAAAGAUAACUAUCCGAAGCUCGAGCCAUCAGAAUCUCAGAGUAUUUCAUACUUUGAAUCGCAGGUGAAAAAGUCGUUGGAAGAUUGAUCGGACAUCGAUCGAUCUCUGACAAAAUAUGGCAAAGUAUAAUUUUUCAUUACUAAAAAGUGCCGAAUCUAAAGCGUAAGCGAAUGAUAAACGAAACUAAUCUGGUUGUCAUUGUAGCGUAACAGCUUCUACAAUGAAUCGUUGGUACAGUAGCAACUAGCUGGCGUGAACGGAUCAUUACCUCGUUGCCGGUUUCCGAUCGUUCGCGGGACGAUUUAAUGGACCGUUCGCAGACCGUUUGCUCUGUUACAGCAAACCGAUCAUCGUCCGUUUCUUUCGCCUUGAGAAUCCUCUCAAAUGCUUCCGGAAGCCGCUGGAUAAAUAACGUCUCGUAAAAACGGAGAACCUCUACCGUGGUCCAUGGCGUCGAUCCGCUUACAUUUUACAUUGAUGCAGCAAAAACCAGAUACUUUGAUUAUUCGUUCAACCAGCAACAACGUACACAUUUAGGACGCUGCUCUUUCUAACAUUCAUAGCGAUUACACGCUCUAUUUUCACGUCUAUCGACAUUGUUUCGCGUGGAAAAACUGAGAAGGGAAGCUCGAAGAAUCGUUUAGAACCGUGACAGGCUCGUUCGAUAUUUUCUUUCCUCUUGAGCAACGUGACUAGAAUUACUUGGAUAGAGUAGUAUGUAUAAGAGACUACUUAAUCCAUCAACGAAGAAAAUGCUUCACCGAUGUAGUUAAUGAAUCACUCGAGCGGACGCACGUCGGUUAAACAUCGCAGAUCUGCAUAGAAGACAAUUAAGAGUCGUUAAAAUAAUUCCGGUUAAUUAAAUGUUUCCAGUUGACGGACAGACGUCGCGAUGGAAAGUCGGUUUUGUUCGCGACUUUCAUCUAAUUAAUCCGACUGUCCCUGUUUCUCGGUGAUAUAUCGCAGUGUGGGUGGAAAUACGGAAAUAAAUGGUUCGCGUAUGUUUAAUAAUGGAUCUGAGGCUGCUCUAGCUUGAAACGGUAACGGUGAACGGAAUCGAAAAUAAGCGUCCCUGGGUGAGAGAAAAAAAAUGUAAAGAUGUGGCAGGUAAUUGGACGCCGGUAAUUAACGGAUGAUAAUCACGAUAAUGAUUACGGCGAUGACGACGAUAAUAGUGGUAUCGUUGUAUUAUGCUCGUAGCAGAUACGCCAGUACCUGCUGCUACUAGCAACGGAAGAAGAAAAGAGAAUAAGACGACGUGCAUGAACAGGAAGAAGAGGAAGAGGAAAAAGAAAUGUACCACGUUGGAUCAAUGAGAGGCGCUUUCACGAUAAUAAAUAUCUCACCAUUUAUCACGUCAACUGAUUACGCCCGGAAAAACGUUACCGAUUACCAUUUUCAAUCAUCCUCGGACAGAUCGAUUUACGAUUUCAGUCAUUUUAGCCGGUCGAUCAUUCAUCGUGUUAACGGCAAGGGACACGAAGUGAGACGUGCCAUUCGAAUGGCACAGCCGCGUUUAAGAGCCGAGGCGAACGCGUUUUGUCGCGGCAAUUAACGAGAAGGAACUUUCUUAUUAACUUUCCUCGAAGAAGAGCACCAUGGUGAAACUUUUACGCGGCCGCCGUGGCAAAGAAUAGAGAAAGAAAUUGUCGCGUGCCGGCCGGCUUCUCCAAUCGUCACGGUCUAUAUAUUUUAAUUUUUAGUCUUGCAGCUCGGGCAAUCUCCCAAGGAUGAACGACAGUCGCAUUUGUUUGGCGUAUCAUCGCGUGCGCACGUACCAUAUUAGUUUCUAACAAUUUAAUCGGUAAUUUCUUGAUGUUACGGGAAAGUGAUCGGACUCGUCGAAUGAUACCGUUUCGGAUAGUUAAACAAGCCGAGAAUUAAACAAGCUGAAGUACACUCGCUAGCGCCGAGAUGUCCCUGAACUACUUUCCAACGCGGAAUGCGAGGAAACUAUCAAUUUAAAGAGACACACUUGAAAAACGGAAAUUUAUGCAACCGCAUCUGAUGAGGAUGCAAGUGUUUGAUAAUACAAAUGAGUACAUUUUAGAAAGUUCGAUAAAAAUUAAAAAUUCCCCUACAUUUAAUUACCGACAAUUUAACGGCCGUGCGAAUGCGUAAAGUUCAAGUACCCCAGAAAACUGAUUGUAAUCUUGCCUCGGAAUCAUAUACAGAAAUUUAUCAUCGUUACACCCGUUAUUUCAUAUCCGGAUUAUUAUAAAUAUAAUUGAUGCGUGUUCAUUAACUCGACUCGAGUAAUUUACAUUCCUAGAUCUCGAUUGCGUUGUGCGUAGAGCAGUAUUUUAAUAGAGUGGUUUCUUUCUCUUGGUUUUUUUUACAAGUGCUUUUAGUGGAACUUGUUUAGUGGCUUUGAUUAAAGUUCGUAUUUGUCCUAUCACCUCCGAUCUGAAUCAGCGUGCUCGUACUUUUUUCUAAGCGCGAUUCCCCAGAUAUACGUGCGUGUGUGUGCAACCGUUCGUAUACCAGAAAUUUAAUCAAUGCGACUGCAUGCAAUUAAAAGUAAAACGUGUUUUGAACUUGUCUUAUCGUUCUCAUUAAAAUUGGAAGAGCAUCGCUGUAUUUCUUUACGUUUUGCUUUGGCUAACGUCCGUAGGAAUUAACGAGCAACUUAUUCUCUCCGAUGUGGUAAAAGAAUCGUGUUUCUUCAGCCUAUCUCCAUUAAUAUUACACUGGUAAUAUACGGUGUUAACAUACGGUGUAGCGGAAGUUCUCAUGGAAACAAUCCGACGUUUCCAAAAUAUUCAUUACUCGUUUAUCUUUUACUUAUUAGCAUCGAGUAUCGUGAAAAGUGUAUUCGUACGAUCAGCGUGUUGAAACGAUUUGUACUUUCAAUCUCUAAUAACACUCGAAGGAAUGUA